UUGUGUCGUCCAGCGACCCUGGAGGUUAAACACCUUGCGGGAUGGUCACUCCCGUCGUCCAACGAUCCUGGACGCUAAACACCUUGCGGGAUGGUCACUCCCAUCAUCUAGUGGAACACCGAGUCCGGACGCCCAACUACUAUCAGAAAGUACGGACCACCGAGUCCGGACACCUGACUACUAUCAAAAGGCACGGACCACCGAGUUCGGAUGCCCAACUACUAU
rnacentral:lncRNA from 1 species